UGGGGAAUUUUGGACAAUGGGCGAAAGCCUGAUCCAGCAAUGCCGCGUGUGUGAAGAAGGCCUUCGGGUUGUAAAGCACUUUUGUCCGGAAAGAAAUCCUUGGCUCUAAUACAGUCGGGGGAUGACGGUACCGGAAGAAUAAGCACCGGCUAACUACGUGCCAGCAGCCGCGGUAAUACGUAGGGUGCAAGCGUUAAUCGGAAUUACUGGGCGUAAAGCGUGCGCAGGCGGUUUGCUAAGACCGAUGUGAAAUCCCCGGGCUCAACCUGGGAACUGCAUUGGUGACUGGCAGGCUAGAGUAUGGCAGAGGGGGGUAGAAUUCCACGUGUAGCAGUGAAAAUGCGUAGAGAUGUGGAGGAAUACCGAUGGCGAAGGCAGCCCCCUGGGCCAAUACUGACGCUCAUGCACGAAAAGCGUGGGGGAGCAAACAGGAUUAGAUACCCUGGUAGUCCACGCCCUAAAACGAUGUCAACUAGUUGUUGGGGAUUCAUUUCCUUAGUAACGUAGCUAACGCGUGAAGUUGACCGCCUGGGGAGUACGGUCGCAAGAUUAAAAACUUCAAAAUGGAAUUGACGGGGUCAUAGCUGUUUCCU
rnacentral:rRNA from 1 species